CUGCGAUGAGGGCCAUUGCACUGCUAAGGACUGUGCAGGUGUGAUUCUUUACUCAGCUGAGUGUGCCACACAGGUAGCCCUGGACGGCAUUCAGUGUUUUGUUUCUAGAGGUAUCAGCUCCUAGCAGCUUAUGAACACAUAUGCUUGCUUGGCCAGGCAAGGUGGUGUGUGCCUGUAAUCCCAGCACUUUGGGAGGCCAAGGCAGGUGGAUCACUUGCAGUCAGGAGUUCAAGACCAGCCUGUCCAACGUGGUGAAACCCCAUCUCUACUAAAAAUACAAAAAUUAGCCAGGGGU
rnacentral:lncRNA from 1 species